rnacentral:sRNA from 1 species
UUAGUUCUUAACCUAGGGUUGCGCCGC